rnacentral:rRNA from 1 species
AAAUUGAAGAGUUUGAUCAUGGCUCAGAUUGAACGCUGGCGGCAGGCCUAACACAUGCAAGUCGAACGGUAACAGGAAACAGCUUGCUGUUUCGCUGACGAGUGGCGGACGGGUGAGUAAUGUCUGGGAAACUGCCCGAUGGAGGGGGAUAACUACUGGAAACGGUAGCUAAUACCGCAUAACGUCGCAAGACCAAAGAGGGGGACCUUCGGGCCUCUUGCCAUCGGAUGUGCCCAGAUGGGAUUAGCUAGUAGGUGGGGUAACGGCUCACCUAGGCGACGAUCCCUAGCUGGUCUGAGAGGAUGACCAGCCACACUGGAACUGAGACACGGUCCAGACUCCUACGGGAGGCAGCAGUGGGGAAUAUUGCACAAUGGGCGCAAGCCUGAUGCAGCCAUGCCGCGUGUAUGAAGAAGGCCUUCGGGUUGUAAAGUACUUUCAGCGGGGAGGAAGGGAGUAAAGUUAAUACCUUUGCUCAUUGACGUUACCCGCAGAAGAAGCACCGGCUAACUCCGUGCCAGCAGCCGCGGUAAUACGGAGGGUGCAAGCGUUAAUCGGAAUUACUGGGCGUAAAGCGCACGCAGGCGGUUUGUUAAGUCAGAUGUGAAAUCCCCGGGCUCAACCUGGGAACUGCAUCUGAUACUGGCAAGCUUGAGUCUCGUAGAGGGGGGUAGAAUUCCAGGUGUAGCGGUGAAAUGCGUAGAGAUCUGGAGGAAUACCGGUGGCGAAGGCGGCCCCCUGGACGAAGA